rnacentral:tRNA from 1 species
GCCUGGGUGGCUCAGUCGGUUGAGUGUCCAACUUGGGCUCGGGUCACGAUCUCACGGCUUGUGAGUUCAAGUCCCGCAUCAGGCU